rnacentral:rRNA from 1 species
CCUACGGGCGGCAGCAGUGAGGAAUAUUGGUCAAUGGCCGGAAGUCUGAACCAGCCAAGUCGCGUGAGGGACGACUGCCCUAUGGGUUGUAAACCUCUUUUAUAAGGGAAGAAUGAAUACUACGUAUACCAUUAUGCCUGUACCUUAUGAAUAAGCAUCGGCUAACUCCGUGCCAGCAGCCGCGGUAAUACGGAGGAUCCGAGCGUUAUCCGGAUUUAUUGGGUUUAAAGGGUGCGUAGGCGGUGUUUUAAGUAAGUGGUUAAAUGUCGGGGCUAAACCUUGAUUUGCAAUUAAUACUGUGUGACUUGAGUUCAGCAGAGGUAGGCGGAAUAAGUUGAGUAGCGGUGAAAUGCUUAGAUAUCACGUAGAACUCCGAUAGCGAAGGCAGCUUACUGGACUGUGACUGACGCUGAUGCACGAGAGUGUGGGUAGCGAACAGGAUUAGAUACCCUAGUAGUC